rnacentral:misc_RNA from 1 species
AGCAGCCGCGGUAAUUCCAGCUCCAAUAGCGUAUAUUAAAGUUGUUGCAGUUAAAAAGCUCGUAGUUGAAUUUCGGGAUCAAUAUGUUGGUCGUGCCUCGGUACGUACUAGCAUAUUGGUUUCUCCCUUCUGAAGAACCAUGAUGUCAUUUAUUUGGUGUCGUGGGGAAUCAGGACUGUUACUUUGAAAAAAUUAGAGUGUUUAAAGCAGGCUCACGCUUGAAUACAUUAGCAUGGAAUAAUGAAAUAGGACGUUUGAUUCUAUUUUGUUGGUUUCUAGGAUCGACGUAAUGAUUAAUAGGGAUAGUUGGGGGCAUUAGUAUUCAAUUGUCAGAGGUGAAAUUCUUGGAUUUAUUGAAGACUAACUACUGCGAAAGCAUUUGCCAAGGAUGUUUUCAUUAAUCAAGAACGAAAGUUAGGGGAUCGAAGACGAUCAGAUACCGUCGUAGUCUUAACCAUAAACUAUGCCGACUAGGGAUCGGAUGAUGUUAAUUUUUUAAUGACUCAUUCGGCGCCUUACG